CAGACGCCAUGGAGUUGGUGCUGGUCUUCCUCUGCAGCCUGCUGGCCCCCACGGUCCUGGCCAGUGCAGCUGAGAAGGAGAAGGAAAUGGACCCUUUUCAUUAUGGUGAGCGAUGGCGACCCUGGGUGCAGGGGUCAGGGGGAAUGCAGCCCUGUCUGGCAGGAGGGAUGUGGGGAACAGACACCCUCUCGUUGGCCCCUUCCUCUCUCACCCUUGGUUCCUUUGGCAGAUUACCAGACCCUGAGGAUUGGGGGACUGGUGUUCGCUGUGGUCCUCUUCUCGGUUGGGAUCCUCCUUAUCUUAAGUAAGUUUGUUCUUUUGCUCCCUCUAUGAGAGCAAUGACUGAGGCUGCUAAGCAGGUGGGGACAGUGUGAGAGCCUGGUUGGUCCCUCUCCUGGAGAGGAAAGGAGGCUGCCUGCCCUCCGUGUUAUCUUCAGGACCCAGUAGAGUGCUGGACACAUAGUAAGUGCUCAGUAAAACAGUGAAGCGGGAACAAAGAAAAUGUCAUAUGACAAUGAGCAUAGAU
rnacentral:sRNA from 1 species